rnacentral:rRNA from 1 species
GACGAACGCUGGCGGCGUGCUUAAUACAUGCAAGUUGAGCGAAGCAUAGGCAUCAAAUCUUCGGAUGCGAUGCUUAUGACUUAGCGGCGAACGGGUGAGUAACGCGUGGGUAACCUGCCCUUCAGACUGGGAUAACAGCUCGAAAGGGCUGCUAAUACCGGAUGAGAUUACUAUGUUGCAUGGCAUGGUAAUAAAAGUGAUUAGCGCUGAAGGAUGGACCCGCGUCCCAUUAGCUAGUUGGUGAGGUAACGGCUCACCAAGGCGACGAUGGGUAGCCGGCCUGAGAGGGUGUACGGCCACACUGGGACUGAGACACGGCCCAGACUCCUACGGGAGGCAGCAGUAGGGAAUCUUGCGCAAUGGGGGAACCCUGACGCAGCGACGCCGCGUGAGCGAUGAAGGCCUUCGGGUCGUAAAGCUCUGUCCUAUGGAAGAUAGAGACGUACCAUAGGAGGAAGCCCGGCUAACUACGUGCC